rfam:Stegodyphus mimosarum contig42801, whole genome shotgun sequence.
GCCUUCGUGGUGUAGUGGUCAGCAUGCUCGACGCAUAUUCGAGAGGUUCGUGGUUCGAAUCCGGGCGAGGGCA